UUGAUGAGGAUGAGCCAAUGAAAUACAUAUAAUCCAACACUUGAUCUGACAUUAAGUGAUGUUCUAUUUUCAUUACCCCUGAAUCUAC